CUUAAUGACACUCCGUAAAUAUUUAUAAAACUCAGUUUAUAAAAACAAGAUCCCAAUGCCUUAUUUUCUAAAAGUACUUGAACUUAAUAAAUCAUUUAUAUAACAUAAAUUAUCAAAUCAAAAACUUUUUUAAAAAUCACAUUUGAAUCAUAAAUAUUAAAUAAUAAUAUUUAUGAACCUACUCGUCGGAUUUGGUGGCCCUGAAAUGACUAUUUCUGACACCACUGAAAAACGGGCUGUUACAUCUUCAAUCUGAAUCACUUUCCAUACUCCCCGUGGUCUUCAAUCCUCUUAGUCUCUGCAACAUGCCAAAACCUUACAUCAGAAAUAUGGAUAAUAACUAAAAAAAUUAUUGCAUUGUAGGAAAUGUAAAAGAAAAGAAACCAAAUCAUAUGUUACCUUCUUAGAACUCUUCUUUUCCCUAAUUCAUAUCUUUCUUGGCACAUAUCAAUCAACCAUGCUCUAGGGCCCACCAGGUAUUAGGGGUGAGUAUUCGAUCAAGUUGAGUCGAAUCGAGUCGAAAAUUUUCAAGUUAGUCGAGUUGGCGAAUCCUAUUUUAGCAACCAAACUCAAUUUGAAUUUUUUCGAAUCGAAUAAAAAAAUUUCGAGUCAAGUUGAAUCGAGUUAACGAAUCCUAUUAUUUAUACUCAGUGGUGCAUUUACAUGGAUCGAUUAUUUAACUAGUAGAUGAAGUACAAGAUUAUUUAACUACAUAAACAAUAUAAUGGUUUUGCCUUUUAACUUUUAAAAGUUAAAAGUAAAAACCAUUAAGUAACAUUUAUCAAAAUGACUUUGUUUUGUCUUUUCUUAUUUGGAUUUUUGGAUAACUCAAAUUGUGUAAUUCAUAUUCGAGUUAAACCGAAAAACUUAAUUUUUUUAUUCGAGUUUUCCUAAUAACUUGAUUAACUCAAAUAACUCAAACUAUUUAAUUCAAAUUUUGAAUUUUUUAUCAAGUUUUUCGAAUCAAAUCGGAUUUUGUACACCCCUACCAACUACCACCACAACCUACCAAUACAUGUCAAAUUUACACAAAAAAUAUAUAUGAAGCUUGCAUAUAUGCUUCGAAUACAUCAAUGUUUACUUGCAAAACUAAACUAAACUAUACUUCAAUAAAACAAACCAAGUUGCUAUUUUUCGGUCUUAGUUUGACAAUAGUUGAAAGAGAGUAGAUAAGAGUUGUAUGAUUAGUUGUGAUGCUCAUGAACUUAUGUACACCAAGUUAAAAAAGUUAAACUAAAAACUACAACAAUCUAACUAGCAUUGAGCAAUGUGUAACCCUAUAUACAUGUUUGUAAUGAUUUCACGAUCAACAAAAAUACAAAAACAAAAAUUAAACUUUCCAAAAAAAGAAAAGCCCAAAUCAAAAGAAAAAUCCAAAGGGAAAUCAUUUAUGCACUAUAAAUGAAUAAAAUGAAACAUUACAACCUAACAGUUUUAACAAGACUUCAUAAACUCAUCCAGCACUUCAUAAAAUGACAGUUUCCAGUUUGCUAAGUUCAGGGUACUGAAUAUUUUAUAAUGCCAAUGAUUUGAGAUAUGAAACCAAUAAAUUUACAAAGACAUCAUACUAUAUAAAGCAACAAGAAUCAGCAAAUAGUGUUACUAGGAUCAACUUUGGGGAAGCUUCGAGGAUCAACUUUGUUCAUAAAAUAAAUUUUCUAACUAAGGUAAUUGUAGAGAGAUAACACCUCUUAUAAAGCAAAAGAAACAAUAAUAAUACAUUGAGAUUUAUACUAAUUAGUACAAAAUUUAUAAAGUAAUCGUGAAAGGAAAAGUAACAUGAUACUCACAAUUGUGCUCAAUCCAAUGGUUUGAUUUUCCAAAUCAUACAAAACCAGCUUGUUGGAAAGUACUAAAUCUGUAAGCAACAAAACAAAGUUCCAUAAAAAAUUCAAAUUACUCUAAUUUCAGCAAAUACUAUUGCAACUUACAGUCUAAUAAAAUCAAUGCUACAAGGUACACACUUAAGAUUUCCAUUUAGUAUUCACUUGGAUUUGAUGAUUAAAAUCUUUUUAAUCCAAGUUAUAAAAAUAACCAAUCAUUCAGGACAACCUAAAAAAACAUGUCUGAAAAAGGACAAUAGGACAUAAUAAAAAGGUAUUUUAAUGAUAAUUUAAAAGAAUAAUCAAUAAUAAGAGAAGACAUAAAUAUACCAUUAUUUUUAAUAAAACAUCAGUAUAAACCUUGUAGAGAAGCUACGACAAUAUUGUAGGCAAUUAUUAAAGUAUAUCUCAGGUAUCCAAAUUAAAGUUAUGAGUAUCACGACCAAAACAAUAUAGAUCUUAUAGAAAUUACAUCAAUAUACAAACUAUAACAAGAACAAAAACAUAUGUGGAAAGAAGUGCACCAAUGCAGUACUUUUGAAAUCAUAAUUUUCACCUUCCAAUUGAGCCUAUAAGGUGUGAAUUUCAUGAAAAAAAAAUUCUACAUUAGAAUAUGAAAAAUAGAAAAAAGUAGAGAAUUCAAUUAACUAAAGAAAGCCCUUUCUCAUUCUAUAUUCUCUUACAAUUGUUAGAAACCACAAUAUGUAUAUAUUGUUGAUAAAUAAGUCCAUUACUUUUAACAUUGAUUUUUACAUAUUUUUUGGAGCUAUUAUUGAUAAAUAAGCCCAUCACUUUUAAUCUAUUAUUUCCUUAUAAGCCAAUACUUAUUUUAAGGAGUCCAUUUUAUUUGUAGCGUCUAUAUCCAUUUUUAAUGAAUUUUAUUUGUAGCGUCUAUAUCCAUUUUUAAUGAACUAUCAAAAGCAAUUGGAACAACAGCAUAGUCCAUGGAGAAGACUUAUAAGAAGACAUGAAUCAUCCAUUGGUGUUGUAAUUGUGCCAAUAAGACCUGUAAGAAGACAUGAAUCAUCCAUUGGUGUUGUAAUUGUGCCAAUGAUAACCAUUCAAGACAGGCUAUUUUAUUGCAAACCAAAAUAUUUGCUUAAGGAUCACAAAAGCAAACUGAUUUUCAAUUGUAAUGGAAAUCAUACCAAAGAACCCAAAUUAAUCAAAUUCAUUAUAACACUUCAAAAACCAAAAGAAAUAUGAAAACCCCCAACAAGAAUCAAACAUAUCUUUUUUUUUGUUCAACAAAAAUUAAACAUAUUGGCAACAUUAGUAACCAAAUUCCUAAAUCAAGUUGUGUGAUCCAAUUAAAGAGUUAAAAGAAUGAUAGAUUAACCGAGCAAGAAUCAAAGAAAUUUCAAUUAAAGAAUCAAAGUCAAUCAACAUUUCUUCAAUCGAUGAACAUGAAACACAGAAAAUCAAAAUCAAAAUCAGAAAACAAAAACCUAUUAAGACAUACAUACCUUGUUAAUUCGACAAUCGGAGGUUAAUUGAUCAUUCAUUACAAAAAAAAACACAAUUCACCAUUUUUACAUAUCAAAUCUAACUAUAAAAUGAAUGGGAAACUAAUGAAAUCAUUUGCAGUUUUAUAACAAUGGGUCUUGAUUCUUGAAGUGAAAAUUACAUUUAAAAAAUGGUACCCAGAAAAAGGAAAAGAAACCCAGGAAUGUGAUGAGAAAACUUGAAGAAUAUGAGAGAAAAAGGGUAAAAAAAAGAAGAAGCUUAAACCAACAUGGGAUAUGGGUUGGUUGACAAGAAUCUUAAAAGAAAAGCAUAGUCCCCAUUUAUUUUUUGUGUUGAUGAAUAAAAAAGAAGAAAUUAAAGAAAAGAAUUUGGGGAUUUACUUAAUGAAUAAAAUGGGUAUCGAAGGGUGGAAACAAGCAUCAGCGAUGGAAGCAAAGUGGUCUAAGAUUCAAACAAAAAAUAAAAAAUACUAAGAAAAUGAACAAUAAAUUACCCGAUAAUGGAAGUAGAUUUUGCCUCUAACUUUGUUACUCACUGUAACAGGCGCAUCUAGAGAAAAUGAAGAAGGUAGAUGAAAAGAGACUUUUAUCUUCAAAAGUAGAAGGCUAUUACGGACAACAAAGAAUAGCCAAUUCAGAGCCCUAUUUACAGAAUGGUUAUUCAGUGCUCACCCAUAAUAGAGGCUUACAUGGAAUAAUGAUUCGGUAAUAAAAAAAUGAACCAAACAAAGAAAACACUAUUUAAAAUUGAAUAAGCAUUGAACUGAAUCCUUAUUC
rnacentral:lncRNA from 1 species